GUACCUUUCUCGGCCUUUUGGCUAAGGUCAAGUGUAGUGUCUGUUCUUAUCAGUUUAAUAUCUGAUACGUGGGUUAUCGACCUACAUGAUAUUAAAUUAAUUUUUCUUGCGAGAGAGCCCUUUACCGUAGCUUGCUACUGGGGUUCUUAAGAGUAGCCUAUGCAUUGCACUACUGCACGGGCUUGGCGCAACCCAC